UACAGAGGGUGCAAGCGUUAAUCGGAAUUACUGGGCGUAAAGCGUGCGCAGGCGGCUAUGCAAGACAGAUGUGAAAUCCCCGGGCUCAACCUGGGAACUGCAUUUGUGACUGCAUGGCUAGAGUACGGUAGAGGGGGAUGGAAUUCCGCGUGUAGCAGUGAAAUGCGUAGAUAUGCGGAGGAACACCGAUGGCGAAGGCAAUCCCCUGGACCUGUACUGACGCUCAUGCACGAAAGCGUGGGGAGCAAACAGG
rnacentral:rRNA from 1 species